rnacentral:rRNA from 1 species
CCUACGGGUGGCAGCAGUGAGGAAUAUUGGUCAAUGGACGCAAGUCUGAACCAGCCAUGCCGCGUGCAGGAAGACGGCUCUAUGAGUUGUAAACUGCUUUUGUACAAGGGUAAACCUGGAUACGUGUAUUCGGCUGAAAGUACUGUACGAAUAAGGAUCGGCUAACUCCGUGCCAGCAGCCGCGGUAAUACGGAGGAUCCAAGCGUUAUCCGGAUUUAUUGGGUUUAAAGGGUGCGUAGGCGGAUCGAUAAGUUAGAGGUGAAAUGCCGGAGCUUAACUCGGGCACUGCCUCUAAUACUGUUGAGCUAGAGAGUAGAUGCGGUAGGCGGAAUGUAUGGUGUAGCGGUGAAAUGCAUAGAGAUCAUACAGAACACCGAUUGCGAAGGCAGCUUACCAAUCUACGUCUGACGUUGAGGCACGAAAGCGUGGGGAGCAAACAGGAUUAGAUACCCGAGUAGUC